GACGAACGCUGGCGGCGCGCCUAACACAUGCAAGUCGAACGGAGCAACUUUCAUUGAUGUUUUCGGACUGAUUUGGAUUUUGCUUAGUGGCGGACGGGUGAGUAACACGUGAGCAACCUGCCUAUCAGAGGGGAAUAACGAUUGGAAACGAUCGCUAAUACCGCAUAACGUAGUUUAAGGGCAUCCUUUUACUACCAAAGAUUUUAUCGCUGAAAGAUGGCCUCGCGUCUGAUUAGCUAGUUGGUGAGGUAACGGCCCACCAAGGCGACGAUCAGUAGCCGGACUGAGAGGUUGACCGGCCACAUUGGGGACUGAGAUACGGCCCAGACUCCUACGGGAGGCAGCAGUGGGGAAUAUUGGGCAAUGGACGCAAGUCUGACCCAGCAACGCCGCGUGAAGGAAGAAGGCUUUCGGGUUGUAAACGUUCUUUUGUUCAGGGAAGAGUAGAAGACGGUACCUGACGAUAAGCCACGGCUAACUACGUG
rnacentral:rRNA from 1 species